UACGUAGGCAGCAAGCGUUGUUCGGAAUUACUGGGCGUAAAGAGUGUGUAGGCGGUGUUCUAAGUUUGUCGUGAAAUCUCCCGGCUUAACUGGGAGGGUGCGGCGAGAACUGGAAUGCUAGAGGAUGGGAGAGGUAAGCGGAAUUCCUGGUGUAGCGGUGAAAUGCGUAGAUAUCAGGAGGAACACCUGUGGUGUAGACAGCUUACUGGACCAUUUCUGACGCUGAGACACGAAAGCGUGGGUAGCAAACAGG
rnacentral:rRNA from 1 species